rnacentral:lncRNA from 1 species
GUUUACAUUUUGGUAAUAUAGUACCCUAUGUUCAUCUUUUGUAUUUGAUGAUUAAUGAUGUAAAGAAAAGAAUGUAAAGCUCACUUUUGAGGUAAAUGUGAUGUACGAAGGAAAUGAUGAAAUGUUGUAAUGAAAUAUAAAGAAUCGAAAAAAAGUUGAAGUUGGAUAUAAUGUAUAUGAUCUAAAUUAAAUCAUAGUACAAAAUGAAUGUUAGUUU